rnacentral:lncRNA from 1 species
GGUGCGAAUUAUAAAAUAUAAAGAAAUAACAAAUCAUAAACUGGGAUCAAAGUAGACAUGCGUGUAAAGGGGAAGGAUCAGCAGCAUAAAUAUUCCCUUCAAAGCACAAAGCACGGGUCCCAUCCCUCUCAAACGACACCAUUUUAUUUGCUAUUUAAAAAACUAAGGGGGCCAAACAAGACAGAAAAGAAAAAAUUGAAUGCUAGUCUGCCAUUUUUAAAAGAAACCAUAGCCCUUUUAUUUUUCUUUGUUGGGAUUUGAUGACCAAUAAUCAAGCUACUGCCGGACCACCACCAUUGCCGGUCACCGCAUAUAGUGACCGAAGUUUAAAAAGAUAAGUUCUUUUUGUCUUUUUUAUCCUCUUUAAUAGAUGAACGAACAACAAAAUGGUUAGUUUCGAAAACACAAAGGGAAAAAAAUGAAAAAAGAAGAAACAAACAACAACCUUGGUGGUUUUCGGUUUGCCAGAUCUGUUUUGCUUUCAAUCGAUGGUGUAGGCUUUCUGUUUGUCUGAUUGGUGGUUAUUUCCCUAUAUUCGAAUGCUUGUAUUUGGUAAAAUUCUUGCUCUUUGAUUUUUAGAUGCCACUAUUUGUAUCAAAUCUGCGUUUUUAUUGAAUAAUACAAAAAAAAAAAACAUUGUUACACUCUCAUGGCUUUAUAGCCUAAAUUCUAAUUGUUUUUGCCUCUUUUUACUGCAGGUUAAGGCGAAACGUGGAAAUGGAGGCAUGGGGGCAGAGAAUGUGGGUAGUGGAAGCAUGGAGGCAGUUGGAGGCUAGGGUUUUGGCUGAAAAUGUUUUGGGGUUUGUGGGCUAGGGUUAGGGUUAAGUAUUUGGGCUUCAAAAUUGGGUCUGUUUUUAUUUUUUGUUUUUUUGUUGUUGAAUUCUAUUUUGGACUUGGUUUUGUGCUUUAUGUAAUUUGCGCUGGGCAAAAAUUGGGUUUUACACAAAUGAUAUUAUUUUUUUUUUAUGUUUUUAAUAAAUAAGGCAACGUGCCGAUUUCAACACUAAGUCACUGAUUUCAUCGCUAUGUUGGGUGGAUAUUAUUGGCUCGUGUUAAAAAUGAGACGUCCUUCUAAAAGACCAAAAAUUUCAAAUUCACGUAUUUUAAUCGGAUAGCAAUUAAAUAUUAAAUUAAACUUGUAUUUUUGAGAAUUAAGACAACGCGUGUUUAACAAGAUACCAAUUUUGGGCGUCACGAGGGUGCUAAUACUUUUCUCGUGCGUAACCGACUCCCAAACCCUAUUUUUUUCUAGAUUUUCGUGUAGACCCAAAUUCGGCUUUCAUUUUUGUUCAAUAAUAAAUUUUCUUUUCUAAAAAAGAAGAUUUAUUAGGUGUCCGAUCACACCUAGAAAAAAGAUCGGUGGCGACUCAUUUUCUCUUUAAAACUGAAAUUUCAUUUUUAAAUUUUCAAAUAAUUAACGACCAAAGCGAAAUUUUUACGUCGCUACAAAGUAUACAUAUUUUUUGUUAUUAUAUAUUUUUUUAAAAAUUAGUAUAAACAUUUUU